GAUGAACGCUGGCGGCGUGCUUAACACAUGCAAGUCGAACGAAGCACUUUAUUUGAUUUCCUUCGGACCUGAUUAUUUUGUGACUGAGUGGCGGACGGGUGAGUAACGCGUGGGUAACGUGCCAUUUACAGGGGGAUAACAGUUGGACACGGCAGCUAAUACCGCAUAAGCGCACAGCAUCGCAUGAUGCAGUGUGAAAAACUCCGGUGGUAUACGAUGGACCCGCGUUGGAUUAGCAAGUUGGGGAGUUAAAGGCCCACCAAGGCGACGAUGCAUAGCCGAGCUGUGAGAGACACCGCCCACUCCGGCAGUGGGCCGCGGCCCAAACUCUUACGGGAGGCGGCAGUGGGUAAUAUUGCACAACCGGCGAAAGCCUGAAGCAGCGACGCUGGGUGAGCUAAGAAGUAUUUCAGUAUGUAAAGCGCAAGCAGCAGGGAAGAUAAUGACGGUACCUGACUAAGAAGCACCGGCUAAAUACGUG
rnacentral:rRNA from 1 species